rnacentral:rRNA from 1 species
GCGAGAAACCUUAGCAAUGUGCGAAAGCACGACUGGGUCAGUCCGAGUGAUUCCUGAUAAAGGAGUCUUUUGCUUGUCCUAAAAGCACAGGUGAAUAAGGGGUGGGCAAGUCUGGUGUCAGCCGCCGCGGUAAUACCAGCACCUCGAGUGGUCAGGACGUUUAUUGGGCCUAAAGCAUCCGUAGCCGGCUUUGCAAGUCUUCGGUUAAAUCCACCUGCUCAACAGAUGGGCCGCUGGAGAUACUACAAAGCUAGGGAGUGGGAGAGGCAGACGGUAUUCAGUGGGUAGGGGUAAAAUCCUCUGAUCCAUUGAGGACCACCAGUGGCGAAGGCGGUCUGCCAGAACACGUUCGACGGUGAGGGAUGAAAGCUGGGGGAGCAAACCGGAUUAGAUACCCGCGUAGUCC